CGUAGGGUGCGAGCGUUAAUCGGAAUUACUGGGCGUAAAGCGUGCGCAGGCGGUUUUGUAAGACAGAUGUGAAAUCCCCGGGCUCAACCUGGGACCUGCAUUUGUGACUGCAAGGCUAGAGUACGGUAGAGGGGGAUGGAAUUCCGCGUGUAGCAGUGAAAUGCGUAGAUAUGUGGAGGAACACCGAUGGCGAAGGCAAUCCCCUGGACCUGUACUGACGCUCAUGCACGAAAGCGUGGGGAGCAAACAGGAUUAGAUACCCUGGUAGUCCACGCCCUAAACGAUGUCAACUGGUUGUUGGGUCUUUACUGACUCGGUAACGAAGCUAACGCGUGAAGUUGACCGCCUGGGGAGUACGGCCGCAAGGUUG
rnacentral:rRNA from 1 species